rfam:Ciona savignyi cont_30666, whole genome shotgun sequence.
GUUCGGGGCCGCACGCGCGCUACACUGACCGGAUCAGCGUGUGCUCUCCUUGGCCGACAGGUCCGGGAAACCCGUUGAACCCCGGUCGUGCUAGGGAUAGGGAAUUGCAAUUAUUUCCCUUGAACGAGGAAUUCCCAGUAAGCGCGAGUCAUUAGCUCGCGUUGAUUACGUCCCUGCCCUUUGUACACACCGCCCGUCGCUACUACCGAUUGAAUGGUUUAGUGAGGUCCUCCGAUUGGACCCGGUCCGGGCGGCGACGUCCGAGCCGGCGUCCGAGAAGACGAUCUAACUUGAUCAUUUAGAGGAAGUAAAAGUCGUAACAAGGUUUCCGUAGGUGAACCUGCGGAAGGAUCAUUA